rnacentral:SRP_RNA from 1 species
CUGUGCUAGAUGGGGAGGUAGCGGUGCCUUGUAACCUGCAAUCCGCUAUAGCAGGAUCGAAGCCUCACCGAGGAUUGCUCACUGUAGAGCAGCCCUUAGUAAGUGGUGUUGACCGUUGGGUCUUACGCAACGAAAGCUCAUGAAUCCCGUCAGGUCCGGAAGGAAGCAGCGGUAAGUGAUCCCUUUCGUGUGUCGUAGGGGUGCCUAAUUCGAGCUAACUGCUAAGGUAACGUCUAUGGUGACGGUUCGAAGUGAGGUGCACAG